rnacentral:lncRNA from 1 species
CCUGUCAUUAGGCAUACUAUUUUAUAAAUCUUCCAAUUAUUAUAACAUGUUCUUCUCAUGUUCUAGUUCCAAACGUUAGUUUUGAGGUGUACGCGCCUAGUUUUCUUUGAAAGGUUUUUGGAGUCCCACGCUGUUAUGCUACAAGCCAAUGCAGGUCUUAAGCCCAAAGAAGGGGAAACCACAUCACAACCAUGGCAGUGGCCGAUUAAUUAUAAGGGUCAAUUCCUUCUCUGGAAGCAAUUACAGAGUUUAUCUUCUCGGAACCCCCAUUAUUUGGUGGGCCAAUUUGGUCUGUCUUGCAGUUUUUGCAGUCAUUUUUUAUUAAUUCAGUGCGUUCUCAGAGAGGAAUCAAGAUCCACCACAUAUUCAAGAAAUCAAGACAUCAUCAUUGGAUAGCUGCGUUUGGCUGAGCAUCGGAUGGGCUUUGCACUACAUCCCUUUUUGGGAAUGGGGCGAGUUCUCUACUUCAUCAUUAUUUUUCCAGCUCUUUUAUUCAGCUCCAUGUUGACAGGUAUUUUUUCUAUUCUUCAUUUUCUUUUUCUUUUUAAUUAUUGCUUUGAUGCACACUUGUACAUAUUGCAUGAGUGUAUAAUCAUCUAUUUUCUCAGGGGGCAGAAAGUCUUUUUCUUACUUCUUAGGCCGUCUUCAAAUUGCUGAACACAUAUGACUACUUUCUCUUCACAAUUUUUCAGACAACAUUAAUAUUGCUGUACCAUAAGAAUGCGCGCGUUACUAUUUGCUUUGUAUAAAAGAGGGGCCUUCCUCAUUUCCUCCAACAUGAAGGAGCUUGUUACAUAGUUUCCACUGCGUAAAAUAACAGGCCCAGUGGUUUCCAUUUCACAAAUUAAAUAUGCAUGUAAUGUUUUCCUUAAAAAAAAGUAGCACACUCAUACAAAAAAAUAAUACAUAUAAAUCGCUUUACGUCGCUUCUACCUAUCC